rnacentral:sRNA from 1 species
ACCUACGUUCUAUGUUACUCUUCUGUCUU